rnacentral:rRNA from 1 species
AACGAACGCUGGCGGCAGGCUUAACACAUGCAAGUCGAACGCCCCGCAAGGGGAAUGGCAGACGGGUGAGUAACGCGUGGGAAUCUACCCAUCUCUACGGAAUAACUCAGGGAAACUUGUGCUAAUACCGUGUACGCCCUUCGGGGGAAAGAUUUAUCGGAGAUGGAUGAGCCCGCGUUGGAUUAGCUAGUUGGUGGGGUAAAGGCCUACCAAGGCGACGAUCCAUAGCUGGUCUGAGAGGAUGAUCAGCCACAUUGGGACUGAGACACGGCCCAAACUCCUACGGGAGGCAGCAGUGGGGAAUAUUGGACAAUGGGCGCAAGCCUGAUCCAGCCAUGCCGCGUGAGUGAUGAAGGCCCUAGGGUUGUAAAGCUCUUUCACCGAUGAAGAUAAUGACUGUAGUCGGAGAAGAAGCCCCGGCUAACUUCGUGCCAGCCGCCGCAGUAAGAC